GCCGGGCGUGGUGGCGGGCGCCUGUAGUCCCAGCUACUCGGAGGCUGAGGCAGGAGAAUGGCGUGAACCCGGGAGGCGGAGCUUGCAGUGAGCCAAGAUGGCGCCACUGCACUCCAGCCUGGGCGACAGAGCCAUACUCUGUCUCAG
rnacentral:sRNA from 1 species